rnacentral:tRNA from 1 species
UCCCUGGUGGUUCAGUGGUUAAGACUCCGAGCUCCCAAUGCAGGGGGCCCAGGUUUGAUACCUGGUCAGGGAA